AGACGUCUACAUUAGAUACCCGCGUAGUCCAGGGUGUAAACGCUGCAGACUUGGUGUUGGGAACCCUUCGGGGGUGCUCAGUGCCGGAGAGAAGUUGUUAAGUCUGCUACUUGGGGAGUACGUCCGCAAGGAUGAAACUUAAAGGAAUUGGCGGGGGAGCACCGCAACGGGAGGAGCGUGCGGUUUAAUUGGAUUCAACACCGUAAAACUCACCAGGGAAGACUGUUACAUGAAAGCCGAGAUGAAGACUCUGCUAGAUUUUCAG
rnacentral:rRNA from 1 species